AGUGGGGAAGAGGUAUGGUUUCCUCGUCAGGCUCAUAAUCUGAAGAUUGUAGGUUCGAAUCCUACCCCCGCUU
rnacentral:tRNA from 1 species